GACGAACGCUGGCGGCGUGCCUAAUACAUGCAAGUUGAGCGCUGAAGGUUGGUACUUGUACCAACUGGAUGAGCAGCGAACGGGUGAGUAACGCGUGGGGAAUCUGCCUUUGAGCGGGGGACAACAUUUGGAAACGAAUGCUAAUACCGCAUAAAAACUUUAAACACAAGUUUUAAGUUUGAAAGAUGCAAUUGCAUCACUCAAAGAUGAUCCCGCGUUGUAUUAGCUAGUUGGUGAGGUAAAGGCUCACCAAGGCGAUGAUACAUAGCCGACCUGAGAGGGUGAGCGGCCACAUUGGGACUGAGACACGGCCCAAACUCCUACGGGAGGCAGCAGUAGGGAAUCCUCGGCAAUGGACGAAAGUCUGACCGAGCAACGCCGCGUGAGUGAAGAAGGUUUUCGGAUCGUAAAACUCUGUUGGUAGAGAAGAACGUUGGUGAGAGUGGAAAGCUCAUCAAGUGACGGUAACUACCCAGAAAGGGACGGCUAACUACGUG
rnacentral:rRNA from 1 species